rnacentral:lncRNA from 1 species
UGCGGCUUUGAACUAGCUUUCAGUACCUGCGAGCAUUCGUUGUUCAAUAAUGUGUGUCUUUGUGUUAUUAUUUUAUGUGAUAAAUUGUUGUGUUGGUACACCACUGUAACAAUGAAGGAGGAAAUGAGGAGGGUUGGUUGGGUGGAAGUGGGGAGGGGUAUGCGGAGCGCUAACAAACAUGUCUAUGCGGCAUGGGCUUUGAUCAUUGUUGAAGCAUCAAUGUAAGGGGCAUUUAAUAUCUUAAUAAAACUAUUCUUAUUUUAGAUACUAUAUAUUGUUAUCUGAUAUUGGACGAAAGAUGUUGCCCUUUUAUGUAAUUAUGUAAUACAAGUUACGAUCAUUUGAAAACACAUAUUAAACAGCCAAAUGGAUGCACAAGAGCUAAAAUAGGAGUCAUAGAUCCUAUUGACAACAAUUAUCUGCCCAAUUUUAUUGAUUUUGUAACAUUUGUUUCAAAUAUGACCAACUUCUUAUCCAAAAUCACCAGCACCGUAUCAGGACCACCAGCACAAUGACAGGACCCACCAGCACAGUAUCAGGACAUGAAUAAAUUGAGAAAAUGCUAAAUUUUAAUAAAUUGCAAUGUUUUUUCACAAAAUAGUUUUGUCGUGUGGAUUGCGGUAUAGAAAGCGGACUCUAUGAGCAUUUUUGUUUUAUUUUUUCAGUUCUAGAUUUUCUGAAAA